UCCCCGGCUAGGCAUGGCGUCAUGAACCAUGCCGAAAAGGCGGAACCCUUGCCGCCCUGCCGGGGAGCUAUGCAUGUUUGA
rnacentral:ncRNA from 1 species